GGAGGCAUAGCUCAGUGGCAGAGCAUGUGUCUGGCUUGCAGAAGGUCCCAGGUUUAAUCCCUGGCAUCUCCA